rnacentral:rRNA from 1 species
GACGAACGCUGGCGGCGUGCUUAACACAUGCAAGUCGAACGGAAAGGCCCUGCUUUUGUGGGGUGCUCGAGUGGCGAACGGGUGAGUAACACGUGAGUAACCUGCCCUUGACUUUGGGAUAACUUCAGGAAACUGGGGCUAAUACCGGAUAGGAGCUCCUGCUGCAUGGGGGGGGUUGGAAAGUUUCGGCGGUUGGGGAUGGACUCGCGGCUUAUCAGCAUGUUGGUGGGGUAGUGGCUUACCAAGGCUUUGACGGGUAGCCGGCCUGAGAGGGUGACCGGCCACAUUGGGACUGAGAUACGGCCCAGACUCCUACGGGAGGCAGCAGUGGGGAAUAUUGCACAAUGGGCGGAAGCCUGAUGCAGCAACGCCGCGUGCGGGAUGACGGCCUUCGGGUUGUAAACCGCUUUCGCCUGUGACGAAGCGUGAGUGACGGUAAUGGGUAAAGAAGCACCGGCUAACUACGUG